ensembl:snoRNA
AUGCUUUUGUAGUUCAUAAGCAUGAUGAUUAGGUAUUCACAUUCAAGUGUGGGAUAUGCCAUCCUCAAACCUUGUCAUGAUGUCAGCACUUUGCCCAUCUGACA